rnacentral:antisense_RNA from 1 species
UGUGGGAGCGGGCGUGCCCGCGAAUGCGGUAUUGAAUUUACCAUUGCAUUCGCGGGCACGCCCGCUCCCACA